rnacentral:rRNA from 1 species
GGGGGGGGCUUUUUUGUUGGUUUCUAGACCGCCGUAAUGAUUAAUAGGGAUAGUCGGGGGCGUCAGUAUUCAAUUGUCAGAGGUGAAAUUCUUGGAUCUAUUGAAGACUAACUACUGCGAAAGCAUUCGCCAAGGAUGUUUUCAUUAAUCAGUGAACGAAAGUUAGGGGAUCGAAGACGAUCAGAUACCGUCGUAGUCUUAACCGUAAACUAUGCCGACUAGGGAUCGGGCGAUGUUUCUUUCUUGACUCGCUCGGCACCUUACGAGAAAUCAUAAGUUUUUGGGUUCUGGGGGGAGUAUGGUCGCAAGGCUGAAACUUAAAGAAAUUGACGGAAGGGCACCACCAGGCGUAAACAAGCAGCAGCGACUCUGCGCCAGAAAGCAGCCCGAAAGGGUGGGUGGUAGCCGGCCUUGAAUGCUAGUCGCCCCGGCGGCAACAUGCCUAAAUUGCGGGAAACUCGCGAAGCCCCUGCUACCAAGCCGCCCGUCGAAAGACGGCGGUGGCCAGGAUAACGUCCUCGGGUACGGUAACAGCGCAGGGUGUAUGUGACGAUCCGCAUCCAAGCCCCUCUGGCUCCGGCCGUGGGGAAGGUUCAGAGACUACAAUGGCGUGGGUCGGCCUGGCCGGCUUAAGGUAUAGUCCAUCCCCCGCCGAAAGGCGCGGGGCUCAGGCAAUGGGAGCCUGCGGCUUAAUUUGACUCAACACGGGGAAACUCACCAGGUUCAGAUGAAAUAAGGAUUGACAGAUUGAGAGCUCUUUCUUGAUUUUUCAGGUGGUGGUGCAUGGCCGUUCUUAGUUCGUGGCGUGAGUUGUCUACUUAACUGUGAUAACGAACGAGACCUUAACCUGCUAAAUAGCCCGGCUAGCUUUGGCUGGUCGCCGGCUUCUUAGAGGGACUAUCGGCUCAAGCCGAUGGAAGUUUGAGGCAAUAACAGGUCUGUGAUGCCCUUAGAUAUUCUGGGCCGCACGCGCGCUACACUGACAGAGCCAACGAGUUCAUCACCUUGGCCGGAAGGUCUGGGUAAUCUGUAAACUUUCCC